rnacentral:rRNA from 1 species
UACGUAGGGUGCAAGCGUUGUCCGGAAUUAUUGGGCGUAAAGAGCUCGUAGGCGGCCCUGUCGCGUCGGCUGUGAAAACCCGGGGCUCAACCCCGGGCCUGCAGUCGAUACGGGCAGGCUAGAGUUCGGCAGGGGAGACUGGAAUUCCUGGUGUAGCGGUGAAAUGCGCAGGAUAUCAGGAGGAACACCGAUGGCGAAGGCAGGUCUCUGGGCAUUAACUGACGCUGAGGAGCGAAAGCAUGGGGAGCGAACAGG